rnacentral:rRNA from 1 species
AUUGAACGCUGGCGGCAGGCCUAACACAUGCAAGUCGGACGGUAGCACAGAGAGCUUGCUCUUGGGUGACGAGUGGCGGACGGGUGAGUAAUGUCUGGGGAUCUGCCCGAUAGAGGGGGAUAACCACUGGAAACGGUGGCUAAUACCGCAUAACGUCGCAAGACCAAAGAGGGGGACCUUCGGGCCUCUCACUAUCGGAUGAACCCAGAUGGGAUUAGCUAGUAGGCGGGGUAAUGGCCCACCUAGGCGACGAUCCCUAGCUGGUCUGAGAGGAUGACCAGCCACACUGGAACCGAGACACGGUCAGACUCCUACGGGAGGCAGCAGUGGGGAAUAUUGCACAAUGGGCGCAAGCCUGCUGCAGCCAUGCCGCGUGUAUGAAGAAGGCCUUCGGGUUGUAAAGUACUUUCAGCGGGGAGGAAGGCGGUGAGGUUAAUAACCUCACCGAUUGACGUUACCCGCAGAAGAAGCACCGGCUAACUCCGUGCCAGCAGCCGCAGUAA